CUUAUUCUGUGAGAGACCCAUUCCCAGCAGCUGCAACUUGCCACACUUCUUAGUAAUGCUAAAAGACCACUAAAAAUUCUCCACUCACCAGGCUGGCACAUUAACAAAUAAUAUGAUUUGUACCACUUUCUGAGCCUGUUCUACAGAACUGAAAAAAAGAACAACAGGGAGGCAAGGAAAACAACUGCAAGUAAAAACAAUCAUCUUCCCCACAGUACUUUCCAUAAAAAGACUUCCUCCCCUCUAAUAGUAUGGAAUAGAAGAGCCACAAAAGCCACUUUCAGAUCCAGCCCUGUUCUGCUCACCCCUGCUUGCUGUCCAGCUGGGCUGUUCUGUAGCCAAACCCCAUCAAGCUGCACCAUGAAAGUGUCAUCUUUAAGCAGACUCCC